UCGAUCAUCAAACAGAAGUAGAAACUGCUUGAAAAUGAUUCUAGAACGCUUCAUGAUUGUUAAAAUAAGUUAAAUUUGCUUAAAAAACAAUUUUGAAACUUGCGAUGUUUCAACAGGAAGUUUAAAAAGCACAUGUAAAAGAAGAGAUUAACCGGUGAGAGUCGAAAUCCGUACAUGACAGAUAUCACUAUAAUACGACUUUGAAAAUAAAACAGUUCCAUCCUUUUGUAAAAGAGUCUUUAAUAUACCUAUCACAUUAAUGUUUGAAGGGUCUUAAGCUUAUACAAACCAUAUAAG
rnacentral:lncRNA from 1 species